rnacentral:rRNA from 1 species
AUUGAACGCUGGCGGCAUGCUUUACACAUGCAAGUCGAACGGCAGCGCGGGCUUCGGCCUGGCGGCGAGUGGCGAACGGGUGAGUAAUGCAUCGGAACGUGCCCAGUAGUGGGGGAUAGCCCGGCGAAAGCCGGAUUAAUACCGCAUACGACCUGAGGGUGCAAGCGGGGGACCGAAAGGCCUCGCGCUAUUGGAGCGGCCGAUGUCGGAUUAGCUAGUUGGUGGGGUAAAGGCUUACCAAGGCGACGAUCCGUAGCUGGUCUGAGAGGACGACCAGCCACACUGGGACGGAGACACGGCCCAGACUCCUACGGGAGGCAGCAGUGUGGAAUUUUGGACAAUGGGGGCAACCCUGAUCCAGCCAUGCCGCGUGCGGGAAGAAGGCCUUCGGGUUGUAAACCGCUUUUGUUCGGGAAGAAAUCCUCUGGGCUAAUACCCCGGGGGGAUGACGGUACCGGAAGAAUAAGCACCGGCUAACUACGUG